rnacentral:rRNA from 1 species
GGACAGUAUGGGAGUGAGAAUGUUGGCAUGAGUAGCGAGAUGUGGGUGAGAAUCCCACAGGCCGUAAACCCAAGGUUUCCAGGGGAAGGUUCGUCCGCCCUGGGUUAGUCGGGACCUAAGCUGAGGCCGAAAGGCGUAGGUGAUGGACAACAGGUUGCUAUUCCUGUACUACCGAUAACCGUUUGAGAGAUGGGAUGACACAGUAGGAUAAGCUAAGCACACUGUUGGUUAUGUGUGCCCAAGCAUUGAGGCAGUCAGAGUAGGUAAAUCCGCUUUGAUACUGCCGGGAUGUGAUGGGGAGCGAAAUUU